CGCAGCUGGACGGGUCCUAACUUCUCGCUGGCGACCUGGACAGCUCCUCCUACUACAGCAUACGCCUGGGGCAAUGAGGCGACCCUUACCCAGCACCUCCUCCAGCAGCUCGGCCAAGAGGAUCAAGUGUAUGGAGGACGAGGUGGACAGUCCAGGAGAAGAGUCCUACUACCCAGCGCAGGGCGCUCCCCGGGCAGCGGCAGCCAGGCCAGCAGCUGGCACGAAGUGGAAACAGCUGGAUAUAAACUGCGUGGCUCGCUAGCUAGUUCGUUCAUCUCAAGACAAGGUAAAGAUGCAUUACUCUU